rnacentral:rRNA from 1 species
UACGUAGGGUGCGAGCGUUACUCGGAAUUACUGGGCGUAAAGCGUGCGCAGGCGGUUAUGUAAGACAGGUGUGAAAUCCCCGGGCUUAACCUGGGAACUGCAUUUGUGACUGCAUAGCUAGAGUACGGUAGAGGGGGAUGGAAUUCCGCGUGUAGCAGUGAAAUGCGUAGAGAUGUGGAGGAACACCGAUGGCGAAGGCAGCCCCCUGGGUCAAGAUUGACGCUCAUGCACGAAAGCGUGGGGAGCAAACAGG